rnacentral:misc_RNA from 1 species
GUUCAACAACACUAAUCUCCUCAGAGCUCCUCUCACUCUCCACUCAAUUCCACUUUCUUCUACUAAGCAAUUCCCCAAUUACUCUUCUAUCUCUGUUCGUUGUUCAUCUACUAAUCAACAGAGUGAUGAAGUUCGAGAUUCCGAUCAAGAUGAACCAAAGAAGAAGAAAAGACUCUCUGAACAGUCUUCAUGGGAAACGAAAGAUUCUGAUGGCAAAGAUUAUCUGUAUAGGCUUGGUGCUGAGGCAGAUAAUAUGAAUAUUGCUGUUGGUGCUAGGGCUGGCGUCAUUGAUAGCCUAUUCGCCGGAAAUUUCCUUGGAAAAGAUUCCGAUAUUGUGUUUGAUUAUCGGCAGAAGGUGACUAGGUCGUUUCAGUACCUUCAAGGCGAUUACUACAUUGCACCUGUGUUUCUGGAUAAAGUUGUGUGUCACAUUGUGAAGAACUACAUUUCUAAUAUUUUGAACGCCAAAGUUCCCCUGAUUCUAGGUGUUUGGGGAGGAAAAGGGCAAGGCAAAACAUUUCAGACCGAACUGAUCUUUCAGGCAAUGGGAAUUGAACCUGUCAUUAUGUCUGCAGGAGAGCUAGAAUCAGAAAGAGCUGGAGAACCGGGAAAGUUAAUACGUGAGCGUUAUAGAACUGCUUCUCAAGUGGUUCAGAACCAAGGGAAAAUGAGUGUUUUGAUGAUCAACGACAUUGAUGCUGGCCUU